AUUGAAGUCCAACUUUACUUGUCACUAAGAUUUUUCUUCUGUGGAGAAGAAUCCAGAAAAAAGAUUCAUACUGAGCAAUGAUUGUUUCAUUCCUUGGGAACUGAAGCAGCUGGAGAAUACUUUGAGAAAGGACGUCCCAAGGUCACAGUGACAGAAAUGGUCCUUCCCAAGUCAUGUCAUCUGCUGCCAAGCCAAAUGUCUUUCCUGUGAUUGAAUGGGUACAACCAGCCAAAGCGAGUCUCCACUCCUCCCUGUGACUGCCUCCAUCUGUGCUGUUGUGCUGGGUCACUUCUCUAAAAUCUGCAGCUGUCCCCAAGCUUUGUCUCACAUAUUUGUUUGUCACACAAGUAUUUUUCCACCUGAUGGGUCCAUUGGCAGACAGCCCUUGCAUUUGAUCUCUUGGUUGUGUUCCAGAGAUCAUUCCUCUGACAAGUACCAUCUCAGCACCAAGACCAAAUGUUGGCUGGGACUCUCACUGCAGCCUGCUGUGUCUGGGGGAAGAGAAACUAUAGCAUCACUGCACUGCAUCUCAAAGGCAAGAGGAGGAUUGUGUCUUUCCAGCCCUGUAUGGUGGUGCCCACGGCCAUAG
ensembl:lncRNA